GACGAACGCUGGCGGCGUGCCUAAUACAUGCAAGUCGAACGCAGUGGGGACGGGUGAGUAACACGUGGCUAACCUCCCAUCAGACGGGAUAACCCUUGGAUACAGGUGCUAACCUGCUACUGAUGGAUGGACCCGCUGUGCAUUAGCUAGUUGGUGAGGUAACGGCCCACCAGGGCGACGAUGCAUAGCCGACCUGAGAGGGUGAUCAGCCACACUGGGACUGAGACACGGCCCAGACUCCUACGGGAGGCAGCAGUGGGGAAUCUUCGGCAAUGGGCGAAAGUCUGACCGAGCAACGCCGCGUGAGUGAAGAAGGUGUUCGGGUCGUAAAGCUCUGUUGUUGGAGAAGCGGUAUCUAACCAGAAAGCCACGGCUAACUACGUGCCAGCAGCCGCGGUAAUAC
rnacentral:rRNA from 1 species